rnacentral:rRNA from 1 species
UGGGGAAUAUUGCACAAUGGGCGCAAGCCUGAUGCAGCCAUGCCGCGUGUGUGAAGAAGGCCUUCGGGUUGUAAAGCACUUUCAGCGAGGAGGAAGGUGGUGGACUUAAUACGUUCAUCAAUUGACGUUACUCGCAGAAGAAGCACCGGCUAACUCCGUGCCAGCAGCCGCGGUAAUACGGAGGGUGCAAGCGUUAAUCGGAAUUACUGGGCGUAAAGCGCACGCAGGCGGUUUGUUAAGUCAGAUGUGAAAUCCCCGGGCUCAACCUGGGAACUGCAUUUGAAACUGGCAAGCUAGAGUCUCGUAGAGGGGGGUAGAAUUCCAGGUGUAGCGGUGAAAUGCGUAGAGAUCUGGAGGAAUACCGGUGGCGAAGGCGGCCCCCUGGACGAAGACUGACGCUCAGGUGCGAAAGCGUGGGGCAGCAAACAGGAUUAGAUACCCUGGUAGUCCACGCUGUAAACGAUGUCGAUUUGGAGGUUGUGCCCUUGGGGCGUGGCUUCCGGAGCUAACGCGUUAAAGUCGACCGCCUGGGGAGUACGG